AGUGAACGCUGGCGGUAGGCCUAACACAUGCAAGUCGAACGGCAGCACAGUAAGAGCUUGCUCUUACGGGUGGCGAGUGGCGGACGGGUGAGGAAUACAUCGGCAUCUACUUUUUCGUGGGGGAUAACGUAGGGAAACUUACGCUAAUACCGCAUACGACCUACGGGUGAAAGCAGGGGAUCUUCGGACUUUGCGCGAUUGAAUGAGCCGAUGUCGGAUUAGUUAGUUGGCGGGGUAAAGGCCCACCAAGGCGACGCUCCGUAGCUGGUCUGAGAGGAGGAUCAGCCACCCUGGAACGGAGACACGGUCCAGACUCCUACGGGAGGCAGCAGUGGGGAAUAUUGGACAAUGGUCGCAAGCCUGACCCAGCCAUACCGCGUGGGUGAAGAAGGCCUUCGGUUUGUAAAGCCCGUUUGUUGGGAAAGAAAAUCAGCAGGUUAAUACCCCGCGAUUCUGACGGUACCCAAAGAAUAAGCACCGGCUAACUUCGUG
rnacentral:rRNA from 1 species